rnacentral:rRNA from 1 species
UACAGAGGGUGCUAGCGUUGUUCGGAAUCAUUGGGCGUAAAGGGCGUGUAGGCGGUUUGUUAAGUCAUGUGUGAAAUCCCUCGGCUCAACCGGGGAACGACGCAUGAAACUGGCAAGCUAGAGUACCAAAGAGGGGGGUGGAAUUCCCGGUGUAGCGGUGAAAUGCGUAGAUAUCGAGAGGAACACCUGCGGCGAAGGCGGGUUGCUGGGCUGACACUGACGCUGAGGCGCGAAAGCGUGGGGAGCAAACGGG